AAAAAAGUUACUAUUACAUAUAAAGUUCGUCCUUAUACACUAUUAAUGAACACAUAUAAACACAUGUAUGUACAAUAUCUCUCUCGUCACCUACGUACAUAUGUGUUUGUAUAUGGUCAGUUUGUUUUAGCCUCUGUGGUGGAAAUUGCUGUCUUCAUCUUUGUUCUUGUCGCUUAUUGCAUUUCUCUAUCUAUGAUAUUAUGUGGGGUCAACCUUUGGACUGUCGUAAUUCAAUGCAAGUUUCAUGUACAAAUAUCAUUGGUCAACUUCGAGAUUCUCUUUUGAUCAAUUUUAAAUGAUUGUGGUGAAAAACAUAAUUAUUACCCUUUAACUUUAAUAUUUUUGUCUGUUACCUGAAGAUUUAAAGCAAUGAGAAUGUCAGCAUCAUGUAGAGAAAGAGAUUCCUUGACAAACUAUCCAUUAGAAAAGGAGCUACAUUGUAAUGUUGACAAACGAAAAAGCAUAGACUUUUGAAAGUAUUACUUCACUUCGACUCCGAGAUUCAACAACACAUCAAAACAUGAAUAUUAAUACAUAGUAAUUUACUAAUUUAUAAGAUCGAAGUUUCUAGGCAGUGACUCUGUGACGACCUUGAGCUAUUCUCUGAGCUAUAUGACUCUUCGCCCACCUUUGGUUGCUUUGCUGGUCAAAAUCAGACAUUCACUAGUCGAGUAAGUAAACAGUUUGAUCACUCAAAACACAAUGUACAAAUGUAAAAUUUUCUAUUUGUGCUAAACAACGAACUCCUCUAAGGUGAAUGAAGAAGAGCAGUGAGUUUGAGGUGUUGAAAAGUUGAUUUACUACAUUUUUACUAAGGAAGAGUAAAUUAUAAACUCGUUUUCUUCCGGAUCGUUAUAUAUUUUAUUUCAGUUUUAUUUAAUAAUCUUUUCGAUUUUAACAUAUUUGAUUUUUAAAUUAUAAGUUCGUUUUCUUCCGGAUUUAUUUGAUUGAAACGGUUGACAGUUUAUUCGAAACUCUACUAUAGAACUCAAAAAGGUGGUUUAACACUAAGAUAUCUACCGAGCAAAGGAGCCAUGGUUACGUCUGCGCCUGAUAGUGCUUAGGUUGGAAUGUCCUAUUGGGAAAUAAAAGCAAUGGCUCACUUGUUGAAGGAUUGACUACACCACCAAGUACAAAGAUGAUAUCAAGCAAGCACCUCGCAGAGCAGCAAAGUUAGCAACUUUGGUACAUAGACUAAAGCCCAACAAACAAUAGACACAAAGCUGGAAUACUUUUUUCUUUUUUUUGUCAAACAGCUGGAAUACAUUAACAUUCUUUCACUAUAUGCAACUCAAGCUACAAGCAUUUUCUAACUCGCCAUGAUCAUGAUUCAAAAACCUAUAACACCGCACCAUGAUACAGUACUUCCACUAACAGCAAAUGGGCAAUAACAAGACUAAUGCCAUCUCCAAUGGAUCUUUCUANNNNNNNNNNNNNNNNNNNNNNNNNNNNNNNNNNNNNNNNNNNNNNNNNNNNNNNNNNNNNNNNNNNNNNNNNNNNNNNNNNNNNNNNNNNNNNNNNNNNNNNNNNNNNNNNNNNNNNNNNNNNNNNNNNNNNNNNNNNNNNNNNNNNNNNNNNNNNNNNNNNNNNNNNNNNNNNNNNNNNNNNNNNNNNNNNNAAAUCGAUAGGUUAAACAAAUGUUUCAAAAUUUGUUGUGUUAUUGUUUUGUCUAUAAAUUACAAAAUUUAUUGAAUUAAUAUAUUUAAUUAUUGCAUCCUUAAAUAAUAUUUUAUUAAGACAUUAGAGAACUAUGUUUUGAGUUGUUUUGUCAAAAUUGUACAAAAAUCUAUGCUUUUUCAUAUUUGUCACGAAAAUUUAUAUGUUAAACUUACUUUUACAAAAUUCUUAACUUUGUCACGAAAACAAAAAUCUAUGCUUUUUCAUAUUUGUCAACGUUCUCACACUUUCUAAGAAUAUAUUAGCUUAGUCACUUACUUAUUUUUUUUUUACAAAACAAAGUAUCGGAGUCUUGAAAGUUGAAUUCAUAUUAUUGUAAAUGUACAUAAGAGUUUGUGAUUAUAUACUUAGUGGUUCUUGUAUAUGUGUCCAAGAAAGUUUCAAUGGCUUAGUGGUAACUGUCCUAUAUAUAUAUCAUACUAACCCGGGUUCGAUUCUCACAUUCGCAUUGUUUUUCUAUUUUUUACGAAAAAUAAAUGAGAUGACAUGGCAAUUUCGGGUUUUCUGAUUGGUUGAUUUUUCUAUCCUAUGUGGACACCCUCUCCAUGGCUUAUAUCCCCCUUUUAGUAUAGUAUAGAUGUUACUAAUCCCAAUUUAUUCUGGUCUCAGCCAUUUAACACCAUCAUGAUUUCACAGAAGUAUAUAAAUGCUCAAUUAUUCCUUUCGUCAACUCUAUAUGUUGAUUUGAGAACAUACGGGUAAAUAAGAUUUGUAAAUUUUUUAACAAAUUAUGGAGCCAAAUAUUAAUCAUCUUAAUCUUUGGCCUCUGCUUUCUCUUUGGUCUCUUCAUUCUUCAUUUUUUAGUGAAUGAGUUUCGUUGAAUAACAAGUGGAUUAUAUAGUGGACGAUGCUGAGAUUUUAUAGUUACUGAAUUUACAUUAUUAAAUUUUCAAUUGAAUGAAAAUGGCAUGUUUUGUAAAACGUGGAUUGCUCUGAAACUUGAAAUGAUUGACUGAAAAAUAAUUUUAAAAUCAAAGGGUAGAUAAAGUCUAAAAUGAUCAAAUGUUACAUAGAAGUUUGGAAACGGCUAUUAUUUUGACACAAAACAAAAUCCCUAAAACGACUUAAAAAACAAAACGGAGGGAGUAUUAAUUAUGUUAUUUCUGUUUAAUUUUUUAUAUUUUAAUACAAUAUUUUACUAAUUAAUAUUGUUGUAAUAAUAGUAAAAUUUUUAUAAAUUUAAAUUAGUUAUGACAAAUAUAAGGACCAUAAUAUAAAAUACAAAUAGUUUUGAAAUUAAGUUUGAAGUUUUGUUUUUGGAAAACAACAUCUUUAAACUUCGAAUAUAAAAUUUUAGAAACUUCAAAAUAGAGUGUCUUUUUGGAGAUGUUCUUAUAGUCGUAUAGAAACGGCGAAUUUAUAAUUUUAAGUAAAUAAAAUAUAGAGAAACAUUUUCACGUUUUCGUGUGGUUAAAAUAUACUCACGUUGGUAAAACUAUUUACAUGUAGUGACAUCAACUCUUAAGUCAAAUUAAGAAUCUAAUAUAUAAAGCAAUGAAGCCCUUUAUGUCAAACUUUAAACUUUGCUUCCUUUGAUGGCAAUCAUAUUAAUCAUUUUUAUACUUAGAGGAAGUGUCUUUCGACUUAAUUAUUGAUUGAAAAACUUACAUAUUUCACCGUAUAGGAUAAAAGUAAGGACGACCAUAGUGAGAAUCUUUUAACUACAAUUAAUUUUAAUCAUUAGUAUGAAUGUUUUAAAUGAUAAGAAUACCCAAUCUAAAGUUCAAUAAGAAAAUAAAAUUACAUUUUUUUUUAUCAACGAAAAUAAAAUUACAUUAAGAACUAAAUUUAUAACUGAGGCAUAGGACCUGCACUGUCUGCAUGAGCAGCACGUGUCUGUCUAGAAGUAGUCAAUGGCCAUGAUUCUGUAAUAAGCCACACAGGCUCUCACUGAGAGAAACUUCAGCUUUUAGCCUUGUUAACCUUUUAUAAACACAAAACCCUAUAAAGAUACACUGGCCACUCUCGUCUUCAGUGUGCUAAAAUGCCCACCUAAAUAAAUGUUAGUAUAAUAUUAUUACUUUGUUAUAUCUUUAAUGUGUCAACUCAUUUCUUUUUAUACUCUACAAAAGUUCCAAUUAUUGUUAAUUUAACUCUUAUAUAUACAUAUAUGAUGUUUUGGAAUUCAAAAUAGAAAUAUUGGGUCCACAAAAUUAGGUGGUAUAUUAUUAUCUCUUAGUUUGGUAAUUAAUUAAUAAGAAGUUUUUCUGCAGCCGUCAUUUCUAUCUCAUUUUAAUUGUGUGUAACUGUGUAUUAAUCUCCCCAGUUUACAAAUAUUAUAAGUUUGUACGACCCUUCAACAUUGUGCAAACAUUCUUAGAGAGAGAGAGAGAGACAGAGAGAUAAAGAGAGAGAACUAGUGAGAGAAAGAGAGAUGGGCCAUCACUCGUGCUGCAACAAGCAGAAGGUGAAGAGAGGGCUUUGGUCACCGGAAGAAGACGAAAAGCUCAUCAACUACAUCAAUACAUAUGGCCAUGGAUGCUGGAGCUCUGUUCCCAAACAUGCAGGCAUAUAUAUUGGUUUUAUUUUGUUGGAUUCUCUACUGAUAAAAAGUAUAUGUCGUUGGUUUUAAUCUAUGUGUUGUUUUCCGUACGUAUGUUCAAUUAGGUUUGCAGAGAUGUGGAAAGAGUUGUCGAUUAAGAUGGAUAAAUUAUCUAAGACCUGAUCUUAAACGUGGAAGCUUCUCUCCUCAAGAAGCUGCUCUUAUCAUUGAGCUUCAUAGCAUUCUUGGCAACAGGUUGUUACUUAAUUAACAUUACAUCUAAUAGAUUUAUUUGUGAUAAUAUAAAACUAUUUUUUCAUCAAGAAACUGAACUACCUUAAUAAUCAUAUUUUUUUGUUAUGGAUCUUUGAUAGAUGGGCUCAAAUUGCUAAACAUCUACCGGGAAGGACAGAUAAUGAGGUCAAGAAUUUCUGGAACUCAAGCAUAAAAAAGAAGCUCAUGUCUCACCAUUAUCACCAUCAUCAUGGUCAUCAUCAUCAUCAUACCUCUUCAAUGGCGAGUUUGCUCACUAACCUUCCUUAUCACAACGUAUUCAACGGUACUGUUGGCGACGAUGAAGGUUCAAGAUUCAUGUCCAGUUUCAUCGCAAACACAAACCCUAAUUUCAUCACUCCAAACCACCUCCCUCUUCCUUCUCAUGUUAUGACCCCAUUGAUGUUCCCAACCUCUAGAGAAGGAGACGUCAAGUAUCUAACCACUACCAACACAAACCAGUCCCAUCAAGAUAAUAACCUUUCCACCAAUCUCGACAUUUUUUCAGCCACACCAUUCAUAAACAAUCAUCAUCACCAUCAUGAUAAUGAUCCCCAAUGGCCAUCACUACCAGAUCUCCCAGCGAGUACCAUCUCCCCUUUUCACGAAAGCCUUCAUGAUUAUGACGAUGGUGAUAAACUCAACGUGUUUGUAACCCCACACAACGAUAAUGGGGAUCCUCGGAACUUUCCUUUGGUGGCCACAAAGUUAUUAUGUGGACAAGUUCUUGAAGGCAAAGCAAUUUCACAAGAUCACUGCCUUCUUCUCCCAACAACUUACGACUUGCAAAUGCAUGGUGAUUAUCGACGAGUGGACUCAUACAUUAAUCACAUGGUCAUACCAUCAUCAUCAUCUUCAUCAUCGCCAAUCUCCUGUGGACAGUACGUCAUCACUUAAGCAAACCCUAGUCCUACUCUAUCAACAUGGGAUUCCCAGACAUGAGUACGUAAUAAAUAUGUACCUAUAUAUGAUCUAUAUACGUUUUUAUAUCUAUAUAUUAGGAGGAAAGAGAGAACAUAAAUAAUCACUCACAUGUGUUGAUAACUCUUUUCCAUAUCAAAAAUAUUCUACACUAUAGUAUAUAAGAAUUUGUGAUAUGUUACAUUUAGUACUUUUCAGAAAUAUUGCAUCGUCUUUGUUUUUGGGGAAACAUAAAUGUUGCUAGUUCUUCUUCAGGUUUAUAGUCGUGAGUUUGUGGAAAAAAAGUUACUAUUACAUAUAAAGUUCGUCCUUAUACACUAUUAAUGAACACAUAUAAACACAUGUAUGUACAAUAUCUCUCUCGUCACCUACGUACAUAUGUGUUUGUAUAUGGUCAGUUUGUUUUAGCCUCUGUGGUGGUGUUCAAUUAGGUUUGCAGAGAUGUGGAAAGAGUUGUCGAUUAAGAUGGAUAAAUUAUCUAAGACCUGAUCUUAAACGUGGAAGCUUCUCUCCUCAAGAAGCUGCUCUUAUCAUUGAGCUUCAUAGCAUUCUUGGCAACAGGUUGUUACUUAAUUAACAUUACAUCUAAUAGAUUUAUUUGUGAUAAUAUAAAACUAUUUUUUCAUCAAGAAACUGAACUACCUUAAUAAUCAUAUUUUUUUGUUAUGGAUCUUUGAUAGAUGGGCUCAAAUUGCUAAACAUCUACCGGGAAGGACAGAUAAUGAGGUCAAGAAUUUCUGGAACUCAAGCAUAAAAAAGAAGCUCAUGUCUCACCAUUAUCACCAUCAUCAUGGUCAUCAUCAUCAUCAUACCUCUUCAAUGGCGAGUUUGCUCACUAACCUUCCUUAUCACAACGUAUUCAACGGUACUGUUGGCGACGAUGAAGGUUCAAGAUUCAUGUCCAGUUUCAUCGCAAACACAAACCCUAAUUUCAUCACUCCAAACCACCUCCCUCUUCCUUCUCAUGUUAUGACCCCAUUGAUGUUCCCAACCUCUAGAGAAGGAGACGUCAAGUAUCUAACCACUACCAACACAAACCAGUCCCAUCAAGAUAAUAACCUUUCCACCAAUCUCGACAUUUUUUCAGCCACACCAUUCAUAAACAAUCAUCAUCACCAUCAUGAUAAUGAUCCCCAAUGGCCAUCACUACCAGAUCUCCCAGCGAGUACCAUCUCCCCUUUUCACGAAAGCCUUCAUGAUUAUGACGAUGGUGAUAAACUCAACGUGUUUGUAACACCACACAACGAUAAUGGGGAUCCUCGGAACUUUCCUUUGGUGGCCACAAAGUUAUUAUGUGGACAAGUUCUUGAAGGCAAAGCAAUUUCACAAGAUCACUGCCUUCUUCUCCCAACAACUUACGACUUGCAAAUGCAUGGUGAUUAUCGACGAGUGGACUCAUACAUUAAUCACAUGGUCAUACCAUCAUCAUCAUCUUCAUCAUCGCCAAUCUCCUGUGGACAGUACGUCAUCACUUAAGCAAACCCUAGUCCUACUCUAUCAACAUGGGAUUCCUAGACAUGAGUACGUAAUAAAUAUAUACCUAUAUAUGAUAUAUAUACGUUUUUAUAUCUAUAUAUAAGGAGGAAAGAGAGAACAUAAAUAAUCACUCACAUGUGUUGAUAACUCUUUUCCAUAUCAAAAAUAUUCUACACUAUAGUAUAUAAGAAUUUGUGAUAUGUUACAUUUUCAGAAAUAUUGCAUCGUCUUUGUUUUAUGGGGGAAACAUAAAUGUUGCUAGUUCUUCUUCAGGUAUAUAGUCGUGAGUUUGUGGAAAAAAGGUUACCAUUACAUAUAAAGUUCGUCCUUAUACACUAUUAAUGAACACAUAUAAACACAUGUAUGUACAAUAUCUCUCUCGUCACCUACGUACAUAUGUGUUUGUAUAUGGUCAGUUUGUUUUAGCCUCUGUGGUGGAAAUUGCUGUCUUCAUCUUUGUUCUUGUCGCUUAUUGCAUUUCUCUAUCUAUGAUAUUAUGUGGG
rnacentral:lncRNA from 1 species